rnacentral:lncRNA from 1 species
UUUAUAAAGGAUAAUGUUAUAUGUACAGAUAUAUUAUAUUUCUACAUGAGUACAUAUAACAUUAUAUGUACUCCGAUAUAAUAAUACAAAUGCGUUUACAUAUUUUAAAUUUGAUUCUAAAGGUGCUACAUUUUGAAAAGUUUCAAAAAUAUCCAAGGGGUAAUAGUGAAAAACAAAAGAGACAGAUACUUUCUCUUUUGCAACCAAUAUUUGCA